rnacentral:rRNA from 1 species
AUUGAACGCUGGCGGCAUGCCUUACACAUGCAAGUCGAACGGCAGCGGGGGAGAAGCUUGCUUUUCCUGCCGGCGAGUGGCGAACGGGUGAGUAAUACAUCGGAACGUGCCCUGUAGUGGGGGAUAACUAGUCGAAAGAUUAGCUAAUACCGCAUACGACCUGAGGGUGAAAGUGGGGGACCGCAAGGCCUCAUGCUAUAGGAGCGGCCGAUGUCUGAUUAGCUAGUGGGUGGGGUAAAGGCCUACCAAGGCGACGAUCAGUAGCUGGUCUGAGAGGACGAUCAGCCACACUGGGACUGAGACACGGCCCAGACUCCUACGGGAGGCAGCAGUGGGGAAUUUUGGACAAUGGGCGAAAGCCUGAUCCAGCAAUGCCGCGUGUGUGAAGAAGGCCUUCGGGUUGUAAAGCACUUUUGUCCGGAAAGAAAUGGCUCUGGUUAAUACCUGGGGUCGAUGACGGUACCGGAAGAAUAAGGACCAGCUAACUACGUGCCAGCCGCCGCAGUAA